CCUACGGGUGGCAGCAGUGGGGAAUAUUGCACAAUGGGCGAAAGCCUGAUGCAGCAACGCCGCGUGAAGGAAGAAGGGUUUCGGCUCGUAAACUUCUAUCAACAGGGACGAAAGAAAUGACGGUACCUGAAUAAGAAGCCCCGGCUAACUACGUGCACGCAGCCGCGGUAAUAAGUAGGGGGCAAGCGGUAUACGGAAUUAAUGGGGGGAAAGGGUGAGUAGGCGGGAUGGUAAGCCAGAUGUGAAAGCCGUGGGCCUAACCCGAGGAUUGCAUUUGGAACUAGCAAGCUAGAGUACAGGAGAGGAAAGCGGAAUUCCUAGUGUAGCGGUGAAAUGCGUAGAUAUUAGGAAGAACCCCAGUGGCGAAGGCGGCUUUCUGGACUGAAACUGACGCUGAGGCACGAAAGCGUGGGGAGCGAACAGGAUUAGAUACCCUGGUAGUC
rnacentral:rRNA from 1 species